UUGUCACGCUUCGCGGCGCAGAACCGGAAACA
rnacentral:scRNA from 1 species